UAGGGAAUCUUUCCACAAAUGGGCGAAAGCCUGAUGGAGCAACGCCGCGUGAGUGAAGAAGGGUUUCGGCUCGUAAAACUCUGUUGUUAAAGAAGAACAUAUCUGAGAGUAACUGUUCAGGUAUUGACGGUAUUUAACCAGAAAGCCACGGCUAACUACGUGCCAC
rnacentral:rRNA from 1 species